AGCCAUGGUAGCUCAGCUGGUACAGUGUUUGACUUGUAAUCCAAGGUACAUGGGUUCAAUACCAACCCAGGCUA